CAGUAGCCGCGGUAAUACGAAGGGGGCUAGCGUUGUUCGGAAUUACUGGGCGUAAAGCGCACGUAGGCGGAUAUUUAAGUCAGGGGUGAAAUCCCGCAGCUCAACUGCGGAACUGCCUUUGAUACUGGGUAUCUUGAGUAUGGAAGAGGUUAGUGGAAUUGCGAGUGUAGAGGUGAAAUUCGUAGAUAUUCGCAGGAACACCAGUGGCGAAGGCGGCUAACUGGUCCAUAACUGACGCUGAGGUGCGAAAGCGUGGGGAGCAAACAGGAUUAGAUACCCCUGUAGUCCCUGUCUCUUAUAA
rnacentral:rRNA from 1 species